rnacentral:lncRNA from 1 species
GCACAGCACUGCUAUGGGGGCAGCACUGCUAUGGGGGCAGCACUGCUAUGGGGUCAGCACUGCUAUGGGGUGAGCACAGCACUGUUAUGGGCUCAGCACUGCUAUGGGGUCAGGCACUGCUAUGGGGUGAGCACAGCACUGCUAUGGGGUCAGCACUGCUAUGGGGUGAGCACAGCACUGCAUUGGGGUCAGCACUGCUAUGGGGUGAG